AACGAAAGAGACACUUUACAAGCAUAAAUAAUUUUUAUUUCUGUUUUCUCCUUUUCAUUCCCUUCUGCUUCUUUAAUUUUUUAUUUCCGUGUUUUGUAGGUUACUUUCUUUUAUGUAUCUAUCUUGGGGAAUUUUUUAUUUGGAAAUUUCGGGCUGUAUUUGACGUUGGAAAUUGCACGGUAGCGAAUAGUGUGAGAGUUCAAAUGAGAUUGCGAGUGUGGGCGAAUUCGUAACAGAGCGAGUCAAUACUAUCGAAAAACGAGAGUUUGGUGGUCCACUAGUUGCGCGGAAAUAUGUAUACUUACAUUCGUUCAUAAGUACUAGAACACUUACAGGAGAAUAAGGAAAACUCUGACAGACCAUUAGAAAUCUAUUAAUCCUCGUUUAGAACUUCGUUAGACUGUAACGAAUUCAUACUUUUUUGACUUCAAGUUUCAUAUAAUAAAUUUAAAUGAUUAAUUAUUACAGUGUACAAAAUUAGCAAAUGUCCUAAUAUUUAUGAACCGAAGUAUAUGUAAUGUAAUUAUGCUGCUCAAAACAGUCGGGAGAUUGAGUUUUGAAAUAACUGAAAUAAAUGAAACAUAAUAUUUUUCUCGGGGAUCCAAUUUAUAUGAAACUG